UACGUAGGUGGCAAGCGUUGUCCGGAUUUAUUGGGUUUAAAGGGUGCGUAGGCGGCCCUGUAAGUCAGUGCUGAAAUAUCCCGGCUUAACCGGGAGGGUGGCAUUGAUACUGCGGGGCUAGAGUACAGAUGAGGUAGGCGGAAUUGACGGUGUAGCGGUGAAAUGCUUAGAUAUGACAUAGAACACCAAUUGCGAAGGCAGCUUACUACACAGUUAUUGACGCUGAGGCACGAAAGCGUGGGGAGCAAACGGG
rnacentral:rRNA from 1 species